AAUAGAUACCCGGGUAGUCCACGCCGUAAACGAUGAAUGCUAGGUGUUAGGGGUUUCGAUACCCUUGGUGCCGAAGUUAACACAUUAAGCAUUCCGCCUGGGGAGUACGGCCGCAAGGCUGAAACUCAAAGGAAUUGACGGGGACCCGCACAAGCAGUGGAGUAUGUGGUUUAAUUCGAAGCAACGUGAAGAACCUUACCAGGUCUUGACAUCCCCCUGACCGGUACAGAGAUGUACCUUUCCUUCGGGACAGGGGAGACAGGUGGUGCAUGGUUGUCGUCAGCUCGUGUCGUGAGAUGUUGGGUUAAGUCCCGCAACGAGCGCAACCCUUGACUUUAGUUGCCAGCAAGUAAGGUUGGGCACUCUAGAGUGACUGCCGGUGACAAACCGGAGGAAGGUGGGGAUGACGUCAAAUCAUCAUGCCCCUUAUGACCUGGGCUACACACGUACUACAAUGGCCGGUACAACGGGAAGCGAAGGAGCGAUCUGGAGCGAAUCCUAUAAAGCCGGUCUCAGUUCGGAUUGCAGGCUGCAACUCGCCUGC
rnacentral:rRNA from 1 species